GUUACUGUUCCAGGGUUCCAAGAUCAUGGAGGAAUUCUUCCUCCACCGUUGAAUAUUCCUCCAAUGCUUACAGUUAAUCCUGUCCGCAGAUCACCUCACCAGUCAGCGACAGCUAGGGUUCCCUAUGGUCCAAGGCUAUCUGGUGGCUAUAAUAGAUCUGGGAAUCGGGUUCCACGUAACAAACCUACCUUCCACAGUGGUGAACAUAAUGGGGAUGGGAAUCACUUCAGCCCUCCUAGAAUAAUGAACCCUCAUGCUGCUAAAUUUGUGCCAGGCCAACCUUGGGUUCCCAAUGGCUAUCCUGUGUCACCAAAUGGUUACUUGGCUACCCCAAAUGGUAUGCCAGUGUCUCCAAAUGGUUU
rnacentral:misc_RNA from 1 species